GAUGAACGCUGGCGGCGUGCCUAAUACAUGCAAGUCGAGCGAACAGACGAGGAGCUUGCUCCUCUGACGUUAGCGGCGGACGGGUGAGUAACACGUGGAUAACCUACCUAUAAGACUGGGAUAACUUCGGGAAACCGUAGCUAAUACCGGAUAAUAUAUUGAACCGCAUGGUUCAAUAGUGAAAGACGGUUUUGCUGUCACUUAUAGAUGGAUCCGCGCCGCAUUAGCUAGUUGGUAAGGUAACGGCUUACCAAGGCAACGAUGCGUAGCCGGCCUGAGAGGGUGGUCGGCCACACUGGAACUGAGACACGGUCCAGACUCCUACGGGAGGCAGCAGUAGGGAAUCUUCCGCAAUGGGCGAAAGCCUGACGGAGCAACGCCGCGUGAGUGAUGAAGGUCUUCGGAUCGUAAAACUCUGUUAUUAGGGAAGAACAAAUGUGUAAGUAACUAUGCACGUCUUGACGGUACCUAAUCAGAAAGCCACGGCUAACUCCGUG
rnacentral:rRNA from 1 species